GACGUAGGGCGCGAGCGUUGUCCGGAUUUAUUGGGCGUAAAGAGCUCGUAGGCGGCUUGUCGCGUCGACUGUGAAAACCCGCAGCUCAACUGUGGGGCUUGCAGCCGAUACGGGCGGGCUGGGAUCGGUAGGGGAGACUGGAAUUCCUGGAUGUAGCGGUGAAAUGACGCAGAUAUCAGGAAGAACACCGAUGGCGAAGGCAGCUCUCUGGGACGGUACUGACGCUGAGACGCGAAAGCGUGGGGAGCGAACAGG
rnacentral:rRNA from 1 species